rnacentral:misc_RNA from 1 species
GAGAUGCGAUACGUCGUGUGAAUUGCAGAAUUCAGUGAAUCAUCGAAUCUUUGAACGCACAUUGCGCCCGUCGGUAUUCCAAAGGGCCUGCCUGUUCGACCGUCAUUCGUACCCUCAAGCUUUGCUUGGUGUUGGGCGUCUUGUCUCCAGUUCGCUGGAGACUCGCCUUAAAGUCAUUGGCAGCCGGCCUACUGGUUUCGGAGCGCAGCACAAGUCGCGCUCUCUUCCAGCCAAGGUCAGAGUCCAGUAAGACUUUUGUUCAACUUUUUACCUCGGAUCAGGUAGGGAUACCCGCUUAACUUAA